CACGUAGGGGGCGAGCGUUGUCCGGAUUUAUUGGGCGUAAAGAGCUCGUAGGCGGCUCAGUAAGUCAGGUGUGAAAACUCCAGGCUCAACCUGGAGACGCCACUUGAUACUGCCGUGGCUAGAGUCCGGUAGGGGAGCAUGGAAUUCCUGGUGUAGCGGUGAAAUGCGCAGAUAUCUGGAGGAACACCGGUGGCGAAGGCGGCAUCCUGGACCAACACUGACGCUGAGGAGCGAAAGCCAGGGGAGCAAACGGG
rnacentral:rRNA from 1 species